rnacentral:piRNA from 3 species
UUAUGACAAAUAACUCAGCAGGGA